rnacentral:ncRNA from 1 species
CCUGUUGUACGACCAACAGUAGCCCAAGAGGACAGGCAUUGCGGGUAACGGCUUUGUCUGAAGCUCCUCCGGAAAGUAGCCACCAUCAGGUGCAGCCAUCUCUGUGAGGCGAUGAUUGCGAUCCUCGAAGCAGCAUCGGGGUGAGGCG